ACCCGACAGAAAAACAAGAGAAAGUCACAUUCAUAUCAAACCCUCCAGACAAUGUUUUCACUUGGAAGAUACUUCGUUUCUCUACCUUGGAAGAUAAAUUCUAUUACUCUGAUGAUUUUCUUGUUGGAGACCGAUACUGGUUAGUGCUCUUGGCUAGACUAAAGUCUAAAUUAAGCUCAAGGCUUGCAACUGUUAUGUGAAUCCCGUAGUGGCCAAGUAUAAUAACGGGAUUUGUUUUUAAUGUAUAUUCAGGAGACUAGGAUUUAACCCGAAAGGAUCUGGUGGAGGAAGACCACAUGCACUUCCAAUCUUCCUAUAUGCUCAAGGCCAUAAGGCAAACGCAGUUGUUACAAACACUUGGGGAGCGGUUAAUCUGCGGUUAAAGAAUCAACGAAGCUCCAACCACAAACAAUUAUAUUGUAAGAAAACUAAAAAAAAAAGGCUUAAUUAACUCUAGGAGUGAAAAUCAUCAAUGAAUAGUAAGGAUAUAAAUUGUUUUUUUUUUUUUUCUAUCUUUGCAGCUGCAGCUUGGUACCCGAUUCGAAGCGAUUAUGGUGUGGGAGUGAACAAUAUAAUAUUGAUGUCAGAGCUAAAAGAUGCAUCAAAAGGGUAUAUGGUGAAUGAUGCCAUUAUCUUUGAAGCUGAAAUGGUUAAGGUCUCUGUGACAAACAUAGUCUCCGUUUAAAUAUCACUACUUCUUUUUCAACAACAACCUUACGAAUAAAGUGGACUUUGAUGAGUUUAAUUUGUUAUACGACAACGUUGUUGAUGCUUGUGAUGUAAUCGUUGUUUCUGCUCUCCGAGUUUUCGUUUUACUUUUUUUUUCAUGUUUUGCUAUCAAUGAAAUAAAGGUAUAAAACUCUCUUGGUUUUAAAGUAUUUUAAAGAUCCAUGUUAGGGAAAGCUGGAAGGUUAAAUUACAAAAAUAAACUCAACCAUUGGAAAACAUUUUUUAUAGCCAAAUUCAAACAGAAGUGCAGGAUCAAUAGACAAAAUGAGUUUAAAGCACGUAAAUGACGACAUGGUUAUGUUUGGUGUAUAUAUGUGGAAGAAUGGAUAUAAUUAGUUAUUUCAGCUAGAAAAUCACAGAAAGAACCCUGAUUUAAGAGCUCUAGUGGUUGAUGAAAUGUUUUUGAGAUAUUAAUAGAAAGUUGCUAGAGUAUAACCAAUGUAGUUUGGUGUAGUCACCUCCUCAGAUUAAGGCAUAAAGACUUUCGCAGAGUGAUGUUUUAACAGGGUCUAGAGAAGAACAUAUAUUCAAAAGGGAAAGGACAACUUCAAAUCCAAAGUGGAAACACUAAACCCUCUAGUUCAUACCAAGGUCCAAGGACGGAAAUAUCUUAGAAGCAAUGGGUCAUGUGCCCCCGGUAAAAAAGAGAGCAUAUUAGUUGUUUGUUUUAAUUUAUUGUUAUGGACAAUUUUACAUCCUCCUAUCUCCGAGUAACAUGUGAAAUCGUCAUUGAAACAGUAAAAGUAAAGUGAAGUAAAUCCCUAUCGGGAAUUCACCGAGAAUUCGAAGAAAGGACAAAUAAAACAUAGAAGCUAAUUAUGAAGAAAGAAAGAUCAACUCAGAGAACAUUGAUUUGGUGAUGGAUGAUGAUAAGUGAUUAUAUAUAUAUAUAUAUAUAUAUAUAUAUAUAAUUUUAAAGGAAAAUGGUAGGAUAUUUUUCUUCUAAUUACUUAUGCCAAGUCUUUAGAUUACUUUUCAAUUGAAAAUGAUAAAAAAAAUUCAUGGGGCUAUUACAGGAUGAUGCACUUUUUGGGGCAGAAAUUUGAAAUAAGGCAUAAUCCAAAUGGGCUUAUGAGAUUGGGCACUUUCAACAACCUGGAAAGACUAAAUUACCCUUGAAAGAGGCAUCUUUGUUUUCGCGUGAGAUGUUUUGUUGAGGAACGGCGUGAGAGAAGCUUUGUGAAGACAAUGACAUUGGUAGACAUAAGUGUAAAAGAGAGCAUCAAAUGUGAAUAAACUGUAAAUCUUGUUACAGUAUGGAGGUUUUGAGAAUUUCAAAUAUAAACCCUAAGAAUUGGAAAACAGGGAACCCCAGGAGAAAGUGACUUAGACGACAUGUGUUCUAUGGAGGUAAGCAUUUUCAAAAAUAUAUACACUAAGGAUUGUAAUUAGGGAACCCAAGCAAUUAGGGAAUAGAGAACAAACCUAAGAGGAGAGGAGAGGACCGGAGCCAAGAUGAAUCUUGUUACAAUGAAUCAUGAGAAAUUAUCAUUUUCUCUUGUUCGCUGUAUCAAUUGCAGAGGCAGAGCAGACGGUGUUAAGCGCGAGAAAAGCAGCGAAUCAGACGGCGUUAAACGGCGCAACUUUGGCGAGAAAAGCAUCGGCGGAAGAAAAUAAUUGUACCUGAUCAGAUUAGUUGGAGAGAAAUCUCCAAAUAUAGAAACGAGUGAGUGAAUGGUCGGGUAUAUGGGCAACGACACUAGUCAGGUAGGUGGCUCUAAAAUGGGGAAAAAUUUAGAAGAUGCUUCAACAGUAGAGGAAGAAAAGAAAUAAACUAGAAAUCAAAUAAUUUAGCGGAAGCUUUGAGGGGUGAAGUUGUAAAAGAUUAGAAUGUAUAAGUACCUAAUUUGGUGAGUAAUUUGAGAUGUUCCUAAAUUCACAAAGGCAUAGAGUUUUUUGUGCCAAUCUCAUAAUUGAUCCAACUUUUCAUAUGAAACAUUUACAAAGAACAUGGUAGGAUUAUUUUCUAAAAAAUUCCUACCCGAAUAACGGAAAAUUUUGAAUUGCUUUCAAUCUCGUACCAUAUUUCUUACUAACAUUUAUGUUGCAAAAAGGUAGGAUAUUUCCUAACCUUUUUCAAAAUUUUCUUACAAAUUUCCUAUUAGUUCAGGUUUCGUCAAAAAAUCAUAGGUUAAAAUUAGGAUAUUUUCUUGUAGUAUAUAUCUUAUUAUAUAAAGUAUGAUUUUCAAAGUUACUAACUCAGAAGAUUAUGCCACUUGUUGAUUUGAUCGAUCUUAGAUUGUGACACGUGUUAGAAGAAAAUUUCUUGAAAUAAUCUUAAAACAAUAAAAUUAUAAUUAUAAGGAAAUAAAAAAAAAUGGAUAUGUAAAUAAGAUCAUUAUAAAAACCUAUAAUUAUAAGGAAACUAAACAAUUUGAAAUUUUAAAUAAGAUACAUUUAUAAAACCUAAGUUAGUAACUCAUACGAUUGUCCUAUGUGUCAAUUUAUCGAUCUUAGAUUUUGAGACAUGUAAAACAUUUUUUAUUAAUUUUAAAACAAUAUAAUAAAAUAUAACAAAUUUUUGAAACAGGAACUUGUUUAAAUAUAUAUUAUUAUUAGAUAACUCUAAAAUAUAGAUGUCAGCAAAAUACAUAAAAUGUUGAGAUGCAUAGAUAAAUUUAUAAUAGAAAGAAUCAAUAGUAUCAACGAUGUUAGAAUUAAGUACAAUCAUGUUUGAGUAAGACCUUUAGUACAAGUUAAUAAUGUUCAAAGUUUAAGUCACAUAGUAGUAGUAAUUUUGUAAACAAAAGAUAAUAACUUACAUGAUUUAAGGAUAAAUCUAGAUAGAUUGGAUAAAUUGAUAUAAGCGUUAAAAUAUUAAAUAUUGAAAAAAUUUGUGUGGUUUACUAUUUAAAAUUUAAAUAUAAAACAAUAAUAUGGAGUGAGUGUAAUUAGUAUUUUAGCUUUUAUUUUAAGAUGGAGUCUAUAGACUAAAAAUCCAGUUUAUUUUAAUAAAAUAAAUAGGUUAAUUUCAUUGUAAAAUAAUAUGUAUAAAAAUGAAAUAUAAUUUAAAAAUAUUUAGAUAAAAUGAAUAAGUAUGAAUUACUAAAAGAAUUCAAAAAUUAUUAAAAAUUCUAUUUAUUUGUCAAAUCCGCCUAUUUAGGAGAGUUUUAUCUAGUAUAUAUAUACAUGUUUCCUGUAAACUUUUAAAGGAAAAUGUUUUUCGCCAAAGAAGGGUAUUAUCAAAGUUUAUCAUUAAGAAGGGUAUUAUCAAAGUUUGAUUAUCUGGAUAGUGAUAUUGUCUUGUGCCUGGAUAAAAGACAAUCUACCUUUCCCAAAUUGUCUUGUGUUUGGACUUUGGAUAAAAGUUUGGUUAUCGGUGACAGUGAUAUUACCAUUGACACUAAAUCGAUCAUUGUAGUAAUAUAUCGUGUACAAUGUUUUGCUUAAAAAUAUAAUCAUGUUCUGCAACCCACCGGUGUUCAAAGGAAAAAAAAUAGUUUUAUGCCACCCAUUACUCCCAAAAAUCCAUCGAAAUAUUGUUAAAUAAUAGACUCAUUCUAAGUCGAAACAAAAAUAAUAUCGUUUCCCCCACCUUUUUAAUAUAUUGUAAUAUCUCGUGUACAACGUUUUGCCUAAUAAUAUAAUCAUAUUUCGAAAACUUGCCACCCACUACCUCGAGGUCUCUCCCACAAAUCUAUAAAAAUAUUGUUUAAUAAUAGAAAUGGGAACUUGCAAAAAGCAUUAAAAUAACAAUAACAUCCAAAGUCAAACAAAAACAAGAAAAAAUGAUUUGUGUAAAAACAUAUACAUAUACAUAUACAUAUACAUAUCUCUCGCUUUUCUGUUCAUCACUUCAGCUGAGUUUCUCAUUCAACAUGUAACUUUUUUUUGAAAUAUGUUGCAAAAACAAAUUCCAACAUAUUUAUAAAACUAGUAACAUUAUUAUUUAUAAUUUGCAAAAUAGGUCAUGAAUCCCUUUUUUAAUCUUUUUUUUUUUUCAUUUCCCCUCAUGUUUAAUUAUUAAACUACUUAAUAGUAUAAUAUUUUUCAAAUUUUCUAUUUAUAUACAAAAGCCUAUGUUUUUUUUUCUAUAAUUUGAUAUGUAGUGUCUAAUAAAUUCAAAAACAUUUUUAUUCAUACAUCUCAUUAAUUGUUAAGAUGUAUACAAAUUGAUACAUUUUUAUUCGUACAACUUAUUUAGUAUACAUUAGCUAUGAAUAUAUGAAUAAAAUAUGUAUAUUAUGUACAUUUGUAUACUAAAUGUGUUGUAUGACUCUUAGUAUACAAAACAACACAAAAAACUUUAUCAAAAAAAAAAAAAAAGCUCCCAGACCCGACUCCCGAGGAAACCUAAGCUUCUUCUUGCUAUGGCCUUCGUGGCCGCCGGCGAGGACCCUCCCUUGCCAGAACCCCCUGACCCGCCUGAUCCUCCCUCCAUCUUCGCCCAAACCUUCAUACCCGAUCCACCUUCUACUUCUUCUCUCUUUCCACCUUCAUCGAGUCUAGAUCUAGAUCUAUGUUCUACCGUUUCUUCCUAUGGUGUUACUCCUUUCGUUUUUUUGCGAUUCUUUACUGCUGUGUGCAGUCCCUUCUAUCAGAUCUGUACCCGUUCCGUGUCUUUGCGGUUCUUUACUGCUCUAUGCAGUCCAUGGAAACUAGCCUAUUCCCAGAUCUUGGGAUAUCCUCUCGUUUCAAGUGGAUAUGUUUCACAGGCCAUAACCUUUGAUGUCCACGCUGCCCCUCCUACCUCAACUCAGAGAGCCUCUCCUACUCGUUCCAUGGCCCAGACACGACAACGGUUUGUUACUUCUGUAAGAUGGUGUAUGUCUUUGUUUCUGGUUUUACCCCUCAUUCAAAAUUUCGUAGUGGUGCGAUUUAAUGCUGCAGUAUGCAGUCUCUUUGAACUCAAUCUGGCCUUUUGUGCUGUUUGUUUUGUUUCUCUUUCUUGGUGGCAGUUUGAAAAGAAACUAAUUAAUACACCUCGCCUGAUGAAUCUGGUUUUAUCGGGUAUUUGGUACCCUAGUAGCUUCUUAUCGGAGCUAGUUAUCUUCCCAAAGUUCCCUCCUCAGUGGAGUGGUUUGGAUGUCCAAGAGUCGUCGGUAUUGCAAGGAUCUUCCUCCCGAUUGAUGUUCUUCUCUGCAUUUGAUGCAGUUCUUGUAACCUCUUGUGUUACGUUGGAUACAGUCUUCCAAGAAUCUAGCCAGAUCGUUCUUAUUGUUCGUUUUGCCUUAUGUUAUUCUUAUGACUUCUGUUGCAUAUCUAUCUAUCCUUUAACCAUUGUUAUAUGGUCUGUUUUGGCUUCUGUUGUUGUGUUUUAUGUAGUUUUCUUCAUGUUGGUUGUAAUUCCUCUUUCUGAGGCUCCUAAAAUUUAGUGAAAACAACUAUUGGUUUGAAAAAAAAAAAAAAAAAAGAAUCUUAGUAUACAAAACAAAGAGUAAAAUUGUCUAUUUUGCAAAUUGUAAAUAGUAGUGUUACUAGUUACAUAAUUAUGUUUCCAAAAGUAACUAUAUUUCCAACAAACCCUUUUUUAAUGUAUUUUUUUGAUAGAUAUAUUAGUAGAUUUUUUUUAACAAUGGAAAACGAACAAGGUUAUAAGGGCAGAUGAGCAGAGUACAACUGUUCUUAAAGUCUCAUGGCAAAUCUUGGCACACUUGUGUUAUCUGAAAUAGCCAGUCUUUAGAUUUUCUUGUACUUUUUAUUUUGUUGAUUGGAGUUUGAAGAGUGUUGAGAGAGGAGCGACGAGGACAAUAACAAAUUUCUCAGUGAUUAAAGGUAGCAGAGAACCCUAUACAAUUAUGGGUUCCGCAUUAUCCUUUCGUAACCUAGAUUUUUUUUUUAUAUAUAGUUAAACUCCUAGCCUAAAACUAAAACACAGUUGAUGACUAAUUGGUGGAGAACCAUUAAAAAAAAAAAAAAAAGACAGAGUAGACUAACGAAACCACACCUUUACAUUUUUCUAUUUAUCUCACCUUCCUAAAUAAAAAAUAUUUAUUUUAAACAAAAACACAUUUUCUGUACAGACGUGGGUUUCGUAAUGUCCAUAAGUCCAUCCAUAGUCUACCAUAUAAUUUAACAUCUACUUCUCUCCAGUGGACGCAAAAGCUUCGAAUUGAAUGUGGGCGUUGCUUCUCUCGUGUCUAAUAUAAAAUUUGGAUAAUCAUGAAUUCUUCGAUGAUAGUGAUAUACCGUUGACACUGAGUAGUUCAUUGCAAUAAGUAAGAUCUUGUUUUUGCUAAAAAGAUUCAAUCAUAUUUUGAACACUUGCCACCCACCACUUCCAAAACUUCCACAAAUUCAUAGAUAUAGUAAUACACAGGUUACUUGACAAAAGGAAUAAAAGUACAAUAUGAUGCUUUACACAUUCUCAGUCAAACAAAAACGAUAAAAUGAAUGUGUAAGAUAAUAUUGUUUAAAAAAGAAAAAAAGAACAAAAAAAAGAUAAUAUUGUUUUCCCGACGACUAAUCCACUUUCAGUAUUUUAUAAAAUAACUGAACUCAAGUUGCUCGAUCAAACAAGUACCCUUAAAUGUCUCUCUGUCUAUAUAAAUGUACACUCUUCCCAAACAAAACCAUAUCUCAAAAUAUGAAUAAUCAAAAAUGGAGUAUAGGUUUCAUAUCUCUCGCUUUUCUCUUCAUCACUUCCUCUUCAGCUGAGUUCAUCAUUCAACAGGUAUUUUUGAUCUUAAAGCUCUUUUUCAAUGGAUUGGCUUUUUACUAAAAGUAGGUUUUAACAAUGAAACUACAAUAUAUAGGUCACAAAGGGCAGAGGAAUAGAGUACAACAGUUCUUACAGUCUCGAGGAGAAUCUUGGUACACUUGUGUAGUUGUGUUGUCUGAAAUCGUCUCUCUUUGGAAUUUCUUGGUUAAAAACAGAAACCAAUUUCUUUAUUUUCUUGGAACAUUUUUUGUGUUGAUAGGAGUGACAAGAGAGUUGAGAGAAGAGCGACCAUCGAGUAAGAUAGUGACAAUAACAAGCUUCUCAGUGAUUAAAGGCAGAGGAGAACCCUAUGAAUCCUCUGUUUUUGAGGCUGCUGGUUACAAAUGGUAAAGAUCUUACACUUUAUCAACUUUUUUUAUAAAAUAAUUAAUUCUAUUUUUUUUGAUAACGUAAUUGGGAAAAUAUAAUCAGGAGAUUGGUUUUGUACGUGAAUGGUAAUAAAAACGACGGUGGAAAUGAUCAUAUUUCCCUUUACGCAAGGAUCGAAGAGACAAACUCUCUUCCAUUAGGUUGGGAAGUGAAUGUUGAUCUCAAACUCUUUGUCCAUAAUGGGAAGCUACACAAAUAUUUGACUGUUACAGGUACUUUAAAAUGUGUAGAUUUCAAUAAUAAUUCUAGCCACUGCUAUUUUUACUUGGCAUUUGUAGAUUUCAAACAUUAGUUUCAUUAUUACAUGAACCAAGUUGAUUGUGAUUUAGAGUUUUCUUUUUUUUUGCAUAAUUGUGGAUUGUAGAUGGCUUAGUGAAGCGAUAUAACAAUGCGAAAAAAGAAUGGGGUUUCGGACAAUUGAUUCCUCGAUCAACAUUCUACAACGCGAACGAAGGUUACCUUGACCAGGACACUGGUUCUUUUGGUGCUGAGAUCUUUAUUGUUAAACCGGCUCAACAACAAGAGAAAGUUACAUUCAUAUCAAACCCUCCAAACAAUGUUUUCACUUGGAAGAUACUUCGUUUCUCUACCUUGGAAGAUAAAUUCUAUUACUCCGAUGAUUUUCUCGUUGAAGACCGAUACUGGUUAGUAAUUUUAAUAACCAAAUUAAUCUCAAAAUUUGCAACUGUUAUGUGAAUUAUGUAGUCUACUAACAUUUUUGGUUAAUGUAUAAUUAGGAGACUAGGAUUUAACCCGAAAGGGGAUGGAGGAGGAAGACCACAUGCACUUCCAAUCUUCCUAUUUGCUCAAGGCCAUAAGGCAAAUGCAGUUGCUACAAACACUUGGGGAGCGGUUAAUCUGC
rnacentral:lncRNA from 1 species